CACUAACACUAGGAAUGCUCACUUGUUUCACAGAGAGGUUGGCUGCUGCGGUCACACGUGUGACCCUAAACCUCCAUGCCACAUAAACCCAUGCUUUUUUACGCGGUGUGGACCAGGCACCGUAUGCAAGACGGAUGAAAAUUGCCGGGGAGUAUGUGUGGACAGGCCGCUGAAGGGUUAGAGUGCAUCACCGCUCAAUAAUACAAGCAUGUGAUAUCGGCCUGCCAUCUGGUGUCGGACAACAUAACAACUUUAAUAUAUAUGUUCUGGAGAAUGCUACAAUUACCCAGUGAUGUUAAUUAAUAUUAAAUAUAAUAAUAAUAUAUUUCUCAAUAAUUAUUUUAAGUAUGAUAUGGCAAUCACAUUAUUCAAGAAGAGUUUGUACUCCAUGCAUUCAUGCUCACUAGCUUGUUGUACUGCAAUUAUGCUUUCUGGGCAAAAUGUUUAAUGUCAAUUAAUAAUAAUCUCUACAAUAAAAAUCAUUUCUAACUAUCUAA